GGGUGAUUAGCUCAGUUGGUUAGAGCACCGUCCUGAUAAGACGGGGGUCGGAGAUUCGAGUUCUCCAUCACCCACCA
rnacentral:tRNA from 1 species